GGGCCGGUAGCUCAGUUGGGAGAGUGUCGCGUUCGCAAUGCGAAGGUCGUGGGUUCGAUCCCCAUCCGGUCCACCA
rnacentral:tRNA from 1 species